AAAGUCAACAACUUUUUUCCCUUCACUUAAUCAGUUUGGGAGGCAGAAAACUACAAAUCAAUUGUAGUAGCUGCCUCCCUUCCCCAUCUCUCUUCAAAACCUUCUCCAAUCCUCUCCCUUCCUCUAUCUAUUCCUAUCCUUUGAUUUUGUAUAUGUAACUUUGAAUUGAGAAUUCAAACUAAAAUGAUGGAUUCACUAACACUUAGAAUUUAUUUAUACUUUCAUUAAGUAUAACAUAAGAUUUUGUGGUAUCCAAUAGUGUAAAUAUUUUAAAUUGAAGAUUGAAUUCAUUCAUUGUAUUCAUUUAGGAUCAAAGAGUGCAACUAUAAAAAUCAUCAAAAUCGGAGUUAAAACUACCGUUAAAUCAUGAUUUUUUUUUUAUAACCGUCGAAAAGUUUUGUCAUGUUACUUGAUCUUUGAAUGUUUUUUUUUUAUGAUUUUUGGCGUAUGCAAUCUUGAAGUAUAUACAAACAAUUUUGACAGUUCGAUCGUUGAAACUAAUUUCAUAGAAUGCAUAUCCCAUCAAAACAAUAGAUUCACUAACACUUGGAGUUUAUUUAUACUUUCAUUAAGUAUAACAUAAGAUUUUGUGGUAUCCACUAGUGUAAAUAUUUCAAAUUGAAGAUCAAGUUCAUUCAUUGUAUUCAUAUGGGGUCAAGGAGUGUGUAGCUGUAAAAAAAAUCAUUAAAAUCAGAGUUAAAAUAACCGUUAAAUCGUGAUUUUUCAUUUAUAACUAUCGAAAAGUUUUGUCCCGUUACUUGAUCUUUGAAUGUUUGUUUUUUGCAAUUUUUGGUGUAUGCGAUUUCGAAGCAUAUAUAAACAAGUUUGACAGUUGGACCGUUGAAAUUAGUUUCUAGAAUGCGUAUUCCAUCAAAACAAUAGAUUCACUAACACUUAAGAGUUUAUUUAUACUUUCAUUAAGAAUAACAUAAGAUUUUGUGGUAUCCACAAGUGUAAAUAUUUUAUAUUGAAAUCGAAUUCAUUCAUUGUAUUCAUAUAGGGUCAAGGAGUGUAAAAAAUCAUCAAAAUCAGAGUUAAAAUAACCGUUAAAUCGUGAUUUUUCAUUCAUAACUGUCGAAAAGUUUUGUCUCAUUACUUGAUCUCUGAAUGUUUGUUUUCUGCGAUUUUUGGCAUAUGCGAUCUCAAAGCAUAUACAAACAAGUUUGACGGUUAGAUUGUUGAAAUUAAUUUCAUAGAAUGUGUAUCCCAUCAAAACAAUAUAUUCACUAACACUAGAGUUUAUUUAUACUUUCAUUAAGUAUAACAUAAGAUUUUGUGGUAUCCACUACUGUAAAUAUUUUAAAUUGAAAAUUGAGUUCAUUCAUAUAGGGUCAAUGAAGUGUAGCUGUAAAAAAACAUCAGAGUUAAAGUAACUGUUAAAUUGUGAUUUUUCAUUUAUAACCGUUGAAAAGUUUUGUCUCGUUACUUGAUCUUUGAAUGUUUGUUUUUUUGCAGAUUUUGGCGUAUGCGAUCUCGAUGUAUAUACAAACAAGUUUGACGGUUAGAUCGUUGAAAUUAAUUUCAUAGAAUGUGUAUCCCAUCAAAACAAUAGAUUCACUAACACUUAAGAGUUUAUUUAUACUUUCAUUAAAUAUAACAUAAGAUUUUGUGGUAUCCACUAUUGUAAAUAUUUUAAAUUGAAGAUCGAGUUCAUUCAUAUAGGGUCAAUGAGUGUAGCUGUAAAAAAAAUCAUCAGAGUUAAAAUAACCAUUAAAUCGUGAUUUUUCAUUUAUAACCGUCGAAAAGUUUUGUCUCGUU
rnacentral:lncRNA from 1 species